GGGCGAGUUUGAUCAUGGCUCAGAGCGAACGCUGGCGGCAGGCCUAACACAUGCAAGUCGAGCGGCCGUAGCAAUACGGCAGCGGCAGACGGGAGAGUAACACGUGGGAACGCGCCCUUCGGUUCGGAAUAACUCAGGGAAACUUGAGCUAAUACCGGAUACGCCCUUACGGGGAAAGAUUUAUUGCCGAAGGAACGGCCCGCGUCCGAUUAGCUAGUUGGUGAGGUAAUGGCUCACCAAGGCGACGAUCGGUAGCUGGUCUGAGAGGAUGACCAGCCUCACUGGGACUGAGACACGGCCCAGACUCCUACGGGAGGCAGCAGUGGGGAAUAUUGGACAAUGGGCGCAAGCCUGAUCCAGCCAUGCCGCGUGGAUGAUGAAGGCCUUAGGGUUGUAAAGUCCUUUUAACGGGGAAGAUAAUGACGGUACCCGUAGAAUAAGCCCCGGCUAACUUCGUGCCAGCAGCCGCGGUAAUAA
rnacentral:rRNA from 1 species